rnacentral:rRNA from 1 species
UACGGAGGAUGCAAGCGUUGUCCGGAAUCAUUGGGCGUAAAGCGCGUGUAGGCGGCUCGAUAAGUCUGCUGUGAAAGUCCAGGGCUCAACCCUGGGAUGCCGGUGGAUACUGUCGAGCUCGAGUCCGGAAGAGGCGAGUGGAAUUCCUGGUGUAGCGGUGAAAUGCGCAGAUAUCAGGAGGAACACCAAUGGCGAAGGCAGCUCGCUGGGACGGUACUGACGCUGAGACGCGAAAGCGUGGGGAGCAAACAGG